CGCAAAUUACCCAAUCCUGACUCAGGGAGGUAGUGACAAGAAAUAACAACACUGGAAAUUUUAUUUCUAGUGAUUGGAAUGAUGGGAAUUUAAACCCCUUUCAGAGUAACAAUUGGAGGGCAAGUCUGGUGCCAGCAGCCGCGGUAAUUCCAGCUCCAAUAGCGUAUAUUAAAGUUGUUGCAGUUAAAAAGCUCGUAGUUGGAUGUCUGCUGGAAGCAAUCAGUCCGCCCUAUUUGUAGGGUGUGCACUUGAUGAAUUCUGGCAUUUUUGUCCCAAUGAUGUAACGGGGCGGUGGUAUUCGGUGAAAGCCGAGUAUCCUGUUUUCCGAUUAUUGGGAUACUGUUACUUUGAGAAAAUUAGAGUGUUUGAAGCAGGCUAAUUGCCUUGAAUACUGCAGCAUGGAAUAACAAUAUAGGAUUUCGGUUCUAUUUUGUUGGUUUCUAGGACUGAAAUAAUGAUUAAUAGGGACAGUUGGGGGCAUUCGUAUUUAACUGUCAGAGGUGAAAUUCUUAGAUUUGUUAAAGACGAACUACUGCGAAAGCAUUUGCCAAAGAUGUUUUCAUUAAUCAAGAACGAAAGUUAGGGGCUCGAAGACGAU
rnacentral:rRNA from 2 species